rnacentral:rRNA from 1 species
UACAGACGGCGCAAGCGUUAUCCGGAAUGAUUGGGCGUAAAGCGUCUGUAGGUGGUUCCCGAAGUCUACUGUCAAAUCCCAGGGCUCAACCUUGGACAGGCAGUGGAGAACUCGGGGGCUAGAGUACGGUAGGGGUAGAGGGAAUUCCCGGUGAAGCAGUGAAAUGCACAGAGAUCGGGAAGAACACCAGUGGCGAAGGCGCUCUACUAGGCCGUGACUGACACUGAGAGACGAUAGCUAGGGGAGCGAAUAGG